CCAAUUCUCUUUUCAUUCUCACGGUUGCUCUCUCCUUCCUAUCUCUUAUUCAUUCUUUUCUUCCCCAAUGAUGAUUGAACCUUAAAGCACCCAUAUCCUGCAUCAUUUCUUUCCCCUCUCUAGUCUAAAUCUCCUUGUUAGGGAGGAUUAUGUCUCCAUUAAUUCUCCUAGUAUAGCCAAAACUCCAUGAGAUUUUGAAGUACAAGAGACCCAAGGUUCCAAGGUACUUGAUGAUGGACCUAGUGAUGAGAUUCGUUGAUUUCAUGGUGCCCGGUUGAGGUAAAAUUGGUUGGCAUCCCGAGUUUUUCAGAUAAAUUUGCUAUACCUCGGGCAUGGAGUUUGUUUUAUUGGUGGUGAUUGAAGCAUUAUCUUAAUUGAGAGAUUUAUGCUAUGAUUGGUUGGUGACUCAACUUUCUAAAUUUAUUGAGGCCAUAGCUAAUUCCAUUGGAGGUUGGGCUCUUGAGGUUUGUUAGCCUUAGGCAUGGUAGGCCUAGAUUCUGUCGUUGAGGUUGCCUAUCCUAGGAAGGAUGGUGAUUUGAUGUUGAUCCAUGUGGAGUCUUGGAAUUUUGUGUAUAUUUGGAGACAUUAUUCGUAAUUUUUAUUGUUUGUGAA